rnacentral:RNase_P_RNA from 1 species
GAAGCAGACCAGACAGCCGCUGGUCAUCAUCAUGAUGGCGAGAGGAAGGUCCGGACACCACAGGGCAGGGUGGCGGCUAACAGCCGUCCGCUGAAAGCCGCAAGGUAUAAGGCGAGGAACAGGGCCACAGAGACGAGCGUAUUCGGUUACGGUGAAACGCGGUAACCUCCACCCGGUGCAAUCCCAAGUAGGCACGCAUUGAGGCGGCUCGCGGAGCGUGCGGGUAGGGAGCUUGAGCGUUGGAGUAAUCCAUCGCCUAGAUGAAUGGCUGCCAUAGCGACCGAUUGGUCGCCGUAACAGAAUCCGGCCUAUCGGUCUGCUUUCUUU